GGGGUGGUAGCUCAGUUGGUUAGAGCUGCGGACUUUUAAUCCGUAGGUCGUGGGUUCGAGCCCCACCCACCCCA
rnacentral:tRNA from 1 species